AAAGAAAGAAAGAAAGAAAGAAAGAAAGAAAGAAAGAAAGAAAGAAAGAAAGAAAGAAAGAAAGAAAGAAGAAAGAAAACAUUCUGACACAUGCUGUAACCUGGAUGGACCCUGAAGACAUGAUGCUCAGUGAAACAAGCCAGUCACAGAAAGACAAAUACUGUGUGAUCCCGCUCCCAUGAGGUCUCUGGAGCUGUCAGCCAUAGAGACAGAGGCCUAUUGCGAGAAGCAAAGGAUGCCACGUGAGGGGAGUCACCAUUGUGCAGAGAGGUACGCAGGCCAGCAACUGCCUUCUCACAUCGAGGACAACUGAACAGCCCCGCAAGUGAUGGAUGGAAGCCCACAUGGAGACUGCACCCCCAACAGUUCACAGAGCCCUCACAUGAAGAGGCCAGCGGACAAGUGCCAACAGGGCUUAAAUGAGUGAGUAGAAGGCAGAGAGAGAAACAUUGAUGAGAUGGCUUCUGGGGAACCAGUGACCUUUCAAUGCAAGUUGUCUGCUGAGAUGCACCUCCUCUGAGAGAAGAGAAAAAAGUGGGAGCCCUGCCACUGGCUGAGGGAGGAAAAUGCUGCAGCCUGGCUCCCUCCUCAGGAUGUUCCCAGGAGAGUCCAGGCCACCCCAGCAGACUCCCUCCCUGUCUCCUUUCACAUGAAUUUCCAUGGACACCUCAGCGCUGUGGGACUCAGAUGUAGGACCACAUUUUCAAAACAGCCUUUGCCACUUGCAGUGUCAGUAUAGCAAAGGCAGAUGGAAGCACCAGUGAGAGUAGCAAAGAAGGCGGAAUAGUUACAUUUACUAUGUGUCGGUUAAUAGUAAGGGAUCCAGAGAUAGAAAGGAAGAAUAUUCUGGAAAUGAUUUUGUUAUCAAAGCUGCAGAUCCAUUGAGACAUCUGCUUAUUGCUGUGUCACAUUCCUUUGAGAAUAAUGGUAUUUUGGUUUGCUUCAUAAAUAAAG